rnacentral:rRNA from 1 species
UACGGAGGGUGCGAGCGUUAAUCGGAAUUACUGGGCGUAAAGCGCACGCAGGCGGUCUGUUAAGCUAGAUGUGAAAGCCCCGCGCUCAACGUGGGAGGGUCAUUUAGAACUGGCAGACUAGAGUCUUGGAGAGGGGAGUGGAAUUCCAGGUGUAGCGGUGAAAUGCGUAGAGAUCUGGAGGAACAUCAAUGGCGAAGGCAACUCCCUGGCCAAAGACUGACGCUCAUGUGCGAAAGUGUGGGUAGCGAACAGG